GGGGUUGUAGCUUAGUGGUAGAGCAUUUGCCUAACAUAUAUGAGGCACUGGGUUCAAUUCCUAGCAGCACGU
rnacentral:tRNA from 1 species